CAGGUCAUGCAAAAAUGUUCAACCCGGAAAAUAUUUAGUGAAAUAAAUUUAAAAAAAUUCUCAUUCCAAAACAAUAUUUCGGCUAAAAAUCAGCUACCAAAUUUCCGUUGUAACCAAAAAAAUUAACAUAACAUCAAAAUGUGCUGCGGUCCCUGCUAUGGCUCUUGCUGUAGUCCCUGUUAUAGCUCGUGCUGUAGCCCCUGUGGGUCGUGCUGUGGUCCUUGCGGACCCUGCUGCGGCCCUUGUGGACCUUGUGGCGGCUGUGGCCCAUGUGGAUCCUGCUGUGGCCGUUGCUAGACGUCUCUAUGCCGCUUUUUCCCAAUCCAGCUUCUGGGAUCUAGAGAACCACUAAUUCAAAGCGGCUAAAUGGUAAAUGAACGUCGAACGGCAAAUAGAUAGCUAAAUUGACUGUGAUCCCAAAGAAAAUCAGUGUUAUCGAUGAACGUGAGCAACAGCGGACCAAGAAAGUUCUAUGCAGCCAUAAAAAAUAGCUAAGACAUCACAUUUUUUUGGUUACAUUUUUCUUUUUUCUUUUUAAUAAAAGUGAAACUGCUUUUAUUAAAUCGCGAUUUUUUCAUUUUACUUGAGGUAUGGAGAGGCUAUACAAAAUUUAGACACGAAAACUACUCAAGGGUGCAGUUAAACAUUUGGCUUGUAGAUUCUGCAGUGGUUUUGCGAAGACUCGGCUUUGUUAAAGUGAAAGAUUUUUAGUAUUUUUGUUGCAUUAUUUAUGGAAGUUGAUGCCUUUGAAAUGUGGAUCAAAAAGUUCUUGAGCUAGCUAAAAGCAAAACAAAUCAGUAUUUUCAGUUUGAUAUGUUUUUCAAAGUUUACGAAGAGUAUGAGAAUGGUCGCGGUAGUUUAGAUCAAUGGUGAACUCAACAAAAGUUAAGUACAGCCAAUGCCCCUGUCCGUAACGUCCGAAGGCUUUAUUUUAUAAGGAACAUUAGGCUCGUUUUAGUUCCAAAACAUUUCCAAAUGGGAAGACAGAAAAAGAUUUCUCCCAAAGGAAAUGGUUUCCAUUGGCGCAUAUUUUGUUAUGUAGUGUUCUCGAUAUCCGCGGCUAUUAUUGGGGCAUGUAAGAAGUUGUAUCUAGCUUAAGGAACGGUUGCGAACAAAUCGGCGGUAGAUUGAACAUGUUAUCGCAAAAUCAUUGCGAUAAGCUUAUGGAAAAUCAUAUCUAGAGACUUUUGUUACAUGUCUUAUGAAACCAACCGUACUACCGACGGUCUCAAACAGUCGCUUAUCCGCUGCAUCUGCUUUAAGAUUUAGCGAGAUAACCUACGGUAUAGCAUACUAUCGUAGACCAUCCCAAGCCUGGAUUUAAGUAAUUGUCACGAAGAAGAAAGAAAAUAUAACCACAUAUUUAUAGACCGAAUCAAACUACUCGUUAGUAAGGAACCGAAAUCUUCGCAGAGUUGUAAACUGCAGAAAGCAUUUCGAAGCGUUUCUGAAGAUGGCAAGUAGGGAAAGCGGACAUUUUAAAGACAUUUCUCUGAGCAGAUUUUUGUGAGAUCUCAUCUUUCAUCGAAGUGAAAAUUCAAAAUCCUGGAAUACAAAGUGGUAAAGUUGAGACCUUUACCAUGUUUAAGCUGGUUGAACCUGAGUACAGCCAGGCAUGCAGAACUUAUGCACUGAUACACUUGAACUACUUGGGGAAAACAUGUUCUCACCGUAAUAUCCAUCUAAAAUUUUCGACACUUUCAAAACAAAAAUUUCAAAAUCAUUACAAAACUUUUUGGCUCAACGAACGAAAGGAAAUUUCCAGUCUAUACUUUUUUCAAAAGCUAAAAAAGCCACCUUCAAGGUAAACGCAUACAAAAUGUGUUCUGGUUGUAGCCCUUGCUGUAGUCCUUGCUGCUCGCCAUGCGUUUGCCCCUGCAGGUACUUGAAGUGUACGGACUUCUGCUGCCGUUGGCCAUGCCCAUGCAAGGCUCACUGCUAUAAUACGCCACCCAAGUGUUGCUGCUAAGCAGUAAUAUUCAAAAUGCUGCAAUGGAGCUUGUCAUCGGAACCUAUUUUAGUCAACUAUAUAUACUAUGCUUUUGGAUUAAGAAGUUUUAUGUAAAAAUAAAGUAAAAUUCUGGAAAACAUUAAAUAUUUAGUAAUUCCAAUAAAUCUGCUCAAGACCUCGACAUAAAGUGGAAAAUUUGUCUAUUUUAUCAAGAACAUUUAAUCUAGGUAUGGUCGGAAUUGGUCUUGGGAUCUUAGCACUUUGAAACUAUUCUAAAAACCCAUUUGGGAAUCGUAGAAAAAACUCAUUUCAUCUUUCUUUCAUUACCUUAAAUUGGGACCCUUGAAGUUUCUAAACAUGAACCAGAGGAUUUUGGAAUGAAUAACAGUUUUAUGACAAAAGCUUCAUCAAUGAACCCUAGCAAGGGUUCAGAGCUUCGGUACUUUGACAUUGCCGAACCUUUAAAGAGUCUUAUAUGAGUCAAAAAGUUUUCGUAUAAGUAGAAGUUUUAAAACAAAAGCUUUAUCAAUGCUUUGAAGUUUUAAUGAACCCUAGCCUUGUUUAAUAAUCUGCGGCAACCCGAAAUUACAGAUUUUGUCUUCUCAUAGUCAUACCACAUCAUUUACCACAUCUUUAAAGAGCCAGACGUGUAGUAAAGAAUUACCGAACAAAUAUGGUACAAGUUCUAAAGCGAAAGCUUCCUCAAUUGGUUGAAGAUAUACUGGACUCCGAAACCACUUUAUACGCAAGAGACGAAACAUCAAAAAGGGAAGCAAUGGCUUAAUUGUCAGAGAAAUGUAAUAAAAUUUUCAUUACAAAAGUUUUUGUUCAAAUUAAAACUAAAUCCAAAAAAAUUUUCCCGUUACAAUCCAUUUGAAAAAGCAGCCCCAACCCAAUUGAAGAUGUGCGAACCUUGCGGCUUUUCCGUUGCUCCGUGUGGCCCUUACGGACCCAUAGGACCAUAUGGACCGAUUACCGCUUGCGGAGCGCAUGGUUUUUGUGGACCGCCUUGCAUACCGGAUUCGUCACCGAACCCGCCCUGCUGUCCCUCACCAUGUCCACCAGGCUGCUGUCCACCACCAUGUGAUCCCUGCUCCAACUGUUGUCCAAAUCCAUGUUGCCUCUGAAAUUGGAUUGAAUGUUGGUGUCAGCUUAAUAUAAACACAAAAGGAGUUUUUCAUGCAUGUUUUGAGUUGAAUUGGGGCGAAAAAAAUUUGUUGAUAUAGGCGCAAACAUAUGUACAUGCAUAAGACCGUGCGUGUUGAGCUAACGGUCAAAUUUUGUUUUCAGUUGUACAUGCAGUAGCGAGGGUGUAACUUUGUAUGCACUGAAUUCAUGAGUGAUCGCCAGCGCUCUUUGUGUUCUUUAGUGCAUGUAAAAACGAUCCAUGUCUUAUUAGAAAUUGUAACCCAAUGUUUUGUUUUUGGUAAUAAAAUUCUUGCAAUAGUCGUAUACGAAGCCUAAAAA